rnacentral:misc_RNA from 1 species
GAUGAAGAACGCAGCGAAAUGCGAUAAGUAAUGUGAAUUGCAGAAUUCAGUGAAUCAUCGAAUCUUUGAACGCACAUUGCGCCCGCCAGUAUUCUGGCGGGCAUGCCUGUUCGAGCGUCAUUUGUACCUUCAAGCUUUGCUUGGUGUUGGGUGUUUGUCUCGCCUUUGCGUGUAGACUCGCCUUAAAAUAAUUGGCAGCCGGCGUAUUGAUUUCGGAGCGCAGUACAUCUCGCGCUUUGCACUCAUAACGACAGCGUCCAAAAGUACAUUUUACACUCUUGACCUCGGAUCAGGUAGGGAUACCCGCUGAACUUAAGCAUAUCAAUAAGCGGAGGA